GAACGAACGCUGGCGGCAGGCCUAACACAUGCAAGUCGAACGCGCGUAGCAAUACGCGAGUGGCGCACGGGUGAGUAACACGUGGGAACCAACCCAGAGGUUCGGAAUAACCGCGGGAAACUGCGGCUAAUACCGGAUAUCCCCUACGGGGGAAAGAUUUAUCGCCUCUGGACGGGCCCGCGUCCGAUUAGCUAGUUGGUGAGGUAAUUGGCGUCACCAAGGCGACGAUCGGUAGCUGGUCUGAGAGGACGACCAGCCACACUGGAACUGAGACACGGUCCAGACUCCUACGGGAGGCAGCAGUGGGGAAUAUUGGGCGAAUGGAGGGCAACUCUGUACCCAGCCAUGGCCGCGUGGGUGACGAAGGUCUUCGGAUUGUAAAG
rnacentral:rRNA from 1 species